rnacentral:rRNA from 1 species
UGGGGAAUUUUGGACAAUGGGGGAAACCCUGCUCCAGCCAUCCCGCGUGUGCGAUGAAGGCCUUCGGGUUGUAAAGCACUUUUGGCAGGAAAGAAACGUCAUGGGUUAAUACCCCGUGAAACUGACGGUACCUGCAGAAUAAGCACCGGCUAACUACGUGCCAGCAGCCGCGGUAAUACGUAGGGUGCAAGCGUUAAUCGGAAUUACUGGGCGUAAAGCGUGCGCAGGCGGUUCGGAAAGAAAGAUGUGAAAUCCCAGAGCUCAACUUUGGAACUGCAUUUUUAACUACCGGGCUAGAGUGUGUCAGAGGGAGGUGGAAUUCCGCGUGUAGCAGUGAAAUGCGUAGAUAUGCGGAGGAACACCGAUGGCGAAGGCAGCCUCCUGGGAUAACACUGACGCUCAUGAACGAGAGCGUGGGGAGCAAACAGG